UAAUUAGGCCACACACAUUCCUAGAUGAAGCA
rnacentral:piRNA from 1 species